rnacentral:misc_RNA from 1 species
AAAAGCCUUGCAGCCCUUCAAGCUGCAAGAAAUAGAACGUCAGUGUUUCAAAAGGAUAAGAUGCCAAAUAUCAAGAAUCAUGAAUAACAACAAUUAGUGAAAAAUAAUUUAUGCUUUUAGCUAUAAAAGAGACUGUAAAACCAGAAGAAGGAAGUUACCGAAAUUUAUUAUUUACAAUAAAGAUACUAGUAGAAUGAUCACUCUAAGAAUAUCCAGAACAAAUAAUUUAUGUCAGCAUUGUCAGUGAAUCUUGCAAUUCAUAUGAUCAAAGAAGAUUUCAAAACUUUGGAAGCAUUUUGAGAAUAGUUAUGCCAUCUACAAACAGUUCAGGCCAUUGGGGGUCACUGCACGUACAAUAUUUAACAUUCAAAAUUCUUGAUUCCUUUUGUUUAAUUAUUUUUGAAAAUUCAGUUCAUAUGUCACCGGAAAACUGGUUCAUAUGUGGAUAUAUGUGCCCAGCAAAUUGCCAAAAUAGUUAGUAAACAUCUAAAAGUUUGAAGAUAAACUUACGUACUAUGGAAUGAAAUAAGUCAAUUACCUUAAGAAGUAGACAGCGGAAACG